AGGGUUUGAUCCUGGCUCAGGGUGAACGCUGGCGGCGUGCCUAACACAUGCAAGUCGAUCGGAGCAGCAAUGCUUAGAGGCGAACGGGUGAGGAAAACGUAGUAACCAACCCUUUAGACUGGGAUAGCCACUGGAAACGGUGGGUAAUACCGGAUAAGCUCGAGAGAGGAAAGGCAGAGAAGCGCUAAAGGACGGAACUGCGCCCCAUCAGAUAGUUGGUGAGGUAAAGGCUUACCAAGUCAAAGACGGGAAACCGACGUGAGAGCGUGUACGGUCACAAGGGCACUGAGAGACGGGCCCUACUCCUACGGGAGGCAGCAGUGGGGAAUAUUGGACAAUGGACGAAAGUCUGAUCCAGCGACGCCGCGUGGAGGAAGAAGUCCUUCGGGAUGUAAACUCAUGAAGCUAACGAAUAAGACGGAAGGGGAACCUUCCGGGAGAAGGUAAUUAGUGAAAAGCCCCGGCUAACUACGUGCCAGCAGCCGCGGUAAUACGUAGGGGGCGAGCGUUGCCCGGAAUUACUGGGCGUAAAGGGAACGUAGGUGGCUCUUAAAGUCAGGUGUGAAAAUAACGAAGCUUAACAGGUUAAUGCGCUUGAAACUAAAGGGCUUGAGGGCAAUAGAGGGAGAUGGAAUUACCUGUGUAGGGGUGAAAUCCGCAGAUAUAGGUAAGAAGGCCGGUGGGGAAGCCGAUCUCCUGGGUUGACUCUGACACUGAGGUUCGAAAGCUAGGGGAGCAAACCGGAUUAGAUACCCGGGUAGUCCUAGCCGUAAACGAUGCUCACUGGGUGUGGGUCGAAAAGAUCUGUGCUGAAGCUAACGCGAUAAGUGAGCCGCCUGGGGAGUACGUCCGCAAGGAUGAAACUCAAAGGAAUUGACGGGGGCCCGCACAAGCGGUGGAGCAUGUGGUUUAAUUCGAUGCUAACCGAAGAACCUUACCAGGGUUGGACAUUGUGAUGGUAGUUGGUAGAGAUAUCAGCGACUUCUGCGAAUGCAGGAGAGUUACAAUCAGGUGGUGCACGGUCGUCGUCAGCUCGUGCCGUGAGGUGUUGGGUUAAGUCCCGCAACGAGCGCAACCCUUGCCGUUAGUUGCCAGCACGUAAAGGUGGGAACUCUAACGGGACAGCCGUCGACGAGACGGAGGAAGGAGAGGAUGACGUCAGAUAAUCGUGCCCCUUAUGCUCUGGGCGACACACGUGCUACAAUGGUAUGGACAGACGGCAGCAAAACCGAGAGGUCAAGCGAAUCCGAGAAACCAUACCUCAAUUCGGAUUGUAGUCUGAAACCCGACUACAUGAAACUGGAAUCGCUAGUAAUCGCAGGUCAGCCAAACUGCGGUGAAUACGUUCCCGGGCCUUGUACACACCGCCCGUCACGCCACCCGAGUUGGAGACGCCCGAAGAUGGUGCCGUUAACCGCAAGGAGACAAACUAUCGAGGGUGGAGCUAGUGAGGGGGGCGAAGUCGUAACAAGGUAGGUGUACCGGAAGGUGCGCCUG
rnacentral:rRNA from 1 species